rnacentral:rRNA from 1 species
UACGUAGGGUGCAAGCGUUUGUCCGGAAUUAUUGGGCGUAAAGAGCUCGUAGGCGGUUUGUCGCGUCUGCUGUGAAAACGCGAGGCUCAACCUCGCGCCUGCAGUGGGUACGGGCAGACUAGAGUGUGGUAGGGGGAGAUUGGAAUUCCUGGUGUAGCGGUGGAAUGCGCAGAUAUCAGGAGGAACACCGAUGGCGAAGGCAGAUCUCUGGGCCAUUACUGACGCUGAGGAGCGAAAGCGUGGGGAGCGAACAGG